rnacentral:lncRNA from 1 species
AGUGGAUGAGAUGUGAGCAGAUUAAAGCCUCAGGUAUCACAUGCUUUUCUCCGCUGGAUUAUAUUUCUGAACGUUAUUGUGCUUUGGUGUUUCCAGGAGGGUGUGUGGGAGGAAGAGGAAGGGGACGCCUGUGAAGGUGUGUGACCGGGCGUAUGUGACAGAAGAUGAGGAGGAGGAGAGCAUGUCAGAACACAGCUACAGCCCUGGUGACGGUCAGUACCCAGAGGGGGCCGAGGACUGCCUCCCCCCACCUGGCAGCCCAUACUACCUGCCCGACCCCACCCAGCUCUGUGUGCCAGAGUUAGGCGAGGAGGGAGCGAGUGGCGUACGGGGACCGGUCCUCUUCCAUCCGCCGCCCAACUGUCGCAUCAGAGAGGUCCACUGUGGGACCCAGGUGAGGCUGGUUGUCAUAGCGAUCCGAGACAUCGCCAAAGGGGAGGAGAUCACGGUGGACUACAGUCUGACGGACUGGGGCGAGAACGCCAUGGAGGAAGAGGCGGCCCCUCACCCUCUGUCCCUCUCCGUUUCUGAUUACCUCACCCCCUCCUGGUCCUUGUCCCCCUCGUCCUCCCCGCUCACCCACUCUGAACCCAGCGACUCAGACCGCGAGGAGGACGAAGAGGAGGAAGACGACGACGAUGACGACGACGAUGAAGAAGAGGAAAUGGAGGAGAUAAGGGGCCGAAUGCUUCGCCGCCGCAAGAAGCGCAAGCUUCCUGCGGAGGUCCCUUCGAAGAAGAAGAGCGAGAACCCCUGCUCAUCCUUCUCCCACCCGCCACCUGUCACCCCACCUGCCAGAUCCCAGUCCCAGCCCCCUGUCAGUGCCCUGGCCCCCCCCACUACCAACAUCAACAACAACAUCAACAUCAACAUCGGCAGCUCCACCGGCGCUGCGGUGAGCCGGCGGCAGCACUGCCCGUACUGUGGCCGCCACUAUCGCUCUCUGGCCCGCCACCUGGAGAAGCACCACGCCAACCAGCCCGAGGUCAGAGCCGCUAUGGAGCAGGCUCACCUGCACACACACAGCUCUUCAAACGGAAGCGCCGCGCACCCUAACCCCUCAGCGUCCUCCACCUCUCACAGCCACUCCUUCGCCGUCCCUCAGCCCGCGGCCUCCAGCCCCCCCCCCCCUCUCUUCUCACGGGAGAGGGACUCGCCAGCGACUCGCUCAAACACCGGCAGCGUGUCCUUCUCCCUCUCGCUUUCCCCACCUUCUUCUGCUCAGCCUGCAGCAGCCAAGAAGGCGCCCAGUUUACCACUGCCAAGCACCAAACGCCCCCCCACCCCCAUGGUGCCACGAGUUAAGAGUCCGUCCCCUCCCCCGUCUGCUCCCAGGAGGGGGAGGAGGUUGAAGAGAGAGAAGCAUGAAGAGCAGCCGAAGGCGGAGGUGGAGAGCUCGAGGAGUCAAGAGGAGCUGGCUCCCCCUCCGACUCCAGAGCCUGACGUGGAUCCAGAGGAAGAUCUGGACCUGAGCGGAGACGGAGACGCGGCCGAGGAGAAGAACGGAGCGGUGGUGAGCCCACAGAGACAUCACAUGUCCCCGCUGCUCUCCUCCCUCUCCUGUCUGGUGGUCUACCUCCGCCGCCAGCAGCACUCCUCCUGCCUCUCUCUGACCCGCUCUCCUCACUCGGCCGAGGCCUGGCGCCUGCUCUGCCACUCCAGCCUCUCUCUGCUCAUCCUCUACAACCGCCACCGGGAAUGUGAGGUGGCCAAGCUCACCGUGCAGGACUACUGCAGCCGCACCCCCCCCCCAUCCAGCUCCAGCAGCAGCCCCCCCUCUGGCAUGGAAGCCCUGCUGUCCCCUUUUGAGCGCCACGUGCUCUGUAACCUGCCACGGGCCGGGGUCCUGGGCAAGCGUGGUCGCAUCCAGCCGCUGAUUCUGCCGCCACACUGCGAGUCGUGCCUUGACCUGCUCCUUCAGACGAGCCCGAGUGUGGGUGUGGACCCCGAGAGCCCCUACGUCUUCUCCCGGCCCUACCACUCUCCUGCCACCCCCGCUCCGGGGCACCGACCUCCUGAGGAACCUGGCUCGGUCCAGCGGGGCCAAGAACCCCGGAGCACUGACGGCGACUCGUGCGCGGCGGCAGGUAGCGAUUUUCACUCAGCUGCUGCUGCUAGAGGAGGGCGAGGGCCAGGGAGGGGGCACCAAACGGCUGGAGGACUUCCUGGAGCGAGAGUACCACGUGACCCAAAACUGCUCCACCAUCAUACGGGAUCCAGCUCUGAUGGGUCAGGUGGGUCGGGUUGUUCUGUACGGAGAGAGGGAGGGCGUGCUGUUCAGAGGGAUGAGCCUGCAACACAUCUGCCUGGAGCUGGAUGUCAUGUCUGGAAACUCGGCAGACUCCUUCUCAGAAGAUUCAGAGGCAGUGGAAGAGAAGGAGGAAGUGAAGGAGAAAGCUGA